rnacentral:rRNA from 1 species
AUUGAACGCUGGCGGCAGGCCUAACACAUGCAAGUCGAGCGGAGCGGCGGACGGGUGAGAAAUGACUAGGAAUCUGCCUGGUCGUGGGGGAUAACGUCCGGAAACGGGCGCAAAUACCGCAUACGCUCAGAAGAGCCUCGGUCGGAUUAGCUAGUGGGUGGGGUAAAGGCCUAGCAAGACGACGAUCCGUAACUGGUCUGAGAGGAUGAUCAGUAACACUGGCACUGAGACACGGUCCAGACUCCUACGGGAGGCAGCAGUGGGGAAUAUUGGAAAAUGGGCGAAAGCCUGAGCCAGCCAUGCCGCGUGUGUGAAGAAGGUCUUCGGAUUGUAAAGCACUUUAAGUUGGGAGGCGUUACCAACAGAAUAAGCACCGGCUAACUUCGUGCCAGCAGCCGCGGUAAUAC